rnacentral:lncRNA from 1 species
AUGUUCCGUUGAUUCCAUUUGUUGAGAGUAGUUGUACACAGAUUGCUGCUGGGAAUCCAUGAAGAAGGUGAAGUUGUUGAAGAACAUUGAAGAACUUUGAGGAUGCUUGAGAGAGAGAGAGAGAGAGAGGUUUGUGUAGGAUAUGAGUGAAAAGUGUGAAAGUGUGAAGUGUGAAAACUAUAAGUACAAACAAGGGGCAUG